rnacentral:rRNA from 1 species
ACGAACGCUGGCGGCGUGCUUAACACAUGCAAGUCGAACGGAAAGGCCCUGCUUUUGUGGGGUGCUCGAGUGGCGAACGGGUGAGUAACACGUGAGUAACCUGCCCUUGACUUUGGGAUAACUUCAGGAAACUGGGGCUAAUACCGGAUAGGAGCUCCUGCUGCUUGGUGGGGGUUGGAAAGUUUCGGCGGUUGGGGAUGGACUCGCGGCUUAUCAGCUUGUUGGUGGGGUAGUGGCUUACCAAGGCUUUGACGGGUAGCCGGCCUGAGAGGGUGACCGGCAACAUUGGGACUGAGAUACGGCCCAGACUCCUACGGGAGGCAGCAGUGGGGAAUAUUGCACAAUGGGCGGAAGCCUGAUGCAGCAACGCCGCGUGCGGGAUGACGGCCUUCGGGUUGUAAACCGCUUUCGCAUGUGACGAAGCGUGAGUGAAGGUAAUGGGUAAAGAAGCACCGGAUAACUACGUG